rnacentral:lncRNA from 1 species
UCUACUCGGCACACUCGGAAGUCGGAACGUCGGAAGGGGAUCCGCAGAAGCACUCGCGUCGCCGCCUCUCGCCUAUAUAAAUGCAGCCACCGCUGCGAUCCGAGUUUCAAUUCGUGCCUCCGGUCGACUCGUCGACAUCAUCAGAUCAGCAAUCGACCCUCUGGUCCAGGCGGUGGCUAGCUAGCGCAACGCCCAUGGGGUGGGCGAAGAAGGCGGCAGUGGCGGAGACGACGGCGCGGGUGGUGGACGACAGGUCGACGGUGGACCAGGCGGUGGCGUACGUGCUCAUGGCCGCCGCGCUCGCCGUCACCUACCUCGUGCACUGAGUUCUUCUUCACCAUAGAUCGAUGGAUCGAGAUGGUUGUACAGCUCGCUACUGCUUGACAUCGUUUCUUGUCUCGAUUCGAUGCAUGACUCCAUGUCCUCUCACCAAAAAAAAAAUAAUACAGUAAUUGCCAUCAAGCUCGCGUCGUGUCUCGAUUUCACUCGUGUGUCUCGCAGCCACUGCUCCACUACGCGGCGCCAACUGGUGUCUAAUGGCCACGCCUGCCGUACGGGCACUAUCGAUGAGGACACGAGAACCCCUCUCUGUAAAUUAUUUAAGCUAAUUUGUUAUCUUCAGUAGAGCGUCGUUACACAGGAACAUCAGUCUUCUGCCAUCCUUUUCCUUAAGUGUGCUGGCGAUUAGGUCUCUAAACAUUGUUUCAAUACCAUUUUAGCCCAAUCAACUGUGAACAGGACGUGGUUAGGGUUAGCUGGUGCAGCCUUGCCACCGUACCGGCAUGGUCUUGCCACAUGGCCGCCUUCUCGUCCUCGCCGCGUCGUGCUACGAUAAUGUCGUGCCACGUGGACGGUACUCUGGCAAGGCCACAUCUAUAGAUGUACAGAAAGCACAAAGCGCGAUAGCUCGGUUCGAAGCAUGUUUUUUGGCCCGGUACGAGCAGUGGUGGACCCAGCUGCUAUGAUUAGGGUGUGUCAGAAAAAAUAUCAAGAAAAGAAACAAAAAAAUAGAGAUUAGCAAGACUCGAACCUUAACUGCUAGUCCAAAAAAUAACACUUACACCACUAUACUAACUACUCUAAUCUAAUCUUAGGAUGUGUCGUGGCCCAUAUGGACCACCUGCUAGGUCCGCCCCUGGGUACGAGCCCGGUCCAACCCGCUUUUAUACGGGCCCGAGCGGCCCGAUACGAAUAAGCGGGUCAGGCUCGGACAGGAAUCUAAGCACGGCGGGCUAGCCCGACACGGUCCGUUUACCUCUAAGUCCGUUAAACCCGUUUUUUACACUAAACUGUGCUUACCGGACCGUUUAGCCCGUUUUUUGCCCGGUUUUUUUCGUGCUUAACGGGCCUGCCCGGCGGGCCAGACUCAGACAGGGAAGCGAUCCCACGGGCUUAGACGACCUGGCCCAGUUUUCUAACCGUGCCUAGCGGGUCGGGCCCAAAACAGGUCGGGCUUCACCGGGCCCGAGCCGGGCGGCCCGUUUGGCCAUCUCUAGCCACAUCAGCUAACCAAGUCCUAUUCACAACUAAUUGGACUAAAAUGACACUGGAACAAUAUUUAGGGACCUUAUCGACUGUUCUAAGAGUUUAGGGACUAGCUUGAUACACCUAAACAAGUUUAGGGAUCGUCAACACACUUUAUUAUUUUUCUUGCUAUAAUACUUAACAUUAUUGCGGGACUAAAUAGGUUGAUUCAUUUAAGUAAGUUAAUAUAGCACGACCCAUAAUAAAUGCUAGGGAGUCAACAGAUUAUUCCGGCAUUGCUAGUUGACAAAGACUUUGACCAAUUUAAAGAUGGACUUAGUUUACAUCUGUUGUGAAGUUAAAAGAAAAAGAAAACUGGCGUGCCACGCGUGCUCAAUACCCAAACAUGCUCAUGGCGAGACAGACCGACGUUACGGUGUGACUGGACGUGAUGUGAUGUGACACUGCUGUUUGAUGGUAAUCAGUGUUGACAACCGUUUGGUUUGGCUUCUGCACCUAUACCAAGAGUAGACACCUCUGUUCAAAAAAUAUAAUCUCACAAACCUCAUGUAUGCUUGCUUAGGAGACAUGUCCCUCCUUUACAUGCACGGACGCAGACCUCCGAAAUGACUGUCGUCCAAGCGCUUAUCUUGCUCGUGUGAAGGAUGUGCAAUUCGAUUUUUUGGGACUUGAUGUAUACCCAUACCAAGGGUACCUAAGAUCACUCUAAAAGCUUACUCUAAGAAAAUAGCACCACCAGCAAAAUAUAGCCAAGGCCGAAGGCAACCCAACCUGGUCACCUCGACCAGAACAACCCAAACCAUAAUAGCCUCGACCUAUCACCCUAACUAUGUGGGUACCUACUAGAGCUAUUCUGACCAAGUCAUCCUGACCAAAACUACCAUGUCCUAGUCACCCUAACUAGGUUGGAUCCCUGAUCAUAGUGAUCCCGACAUGCCCCCCUCGGCUAGGUCAACCUCGUCCUUGGUCACCCUAGGUGAUCCCGACCUGGUCACUUCGACUAGGUUAGACCCGACCUGGUCAUCUCGACUAGGUCGCCACCGAUCCUAAUCGCUCUAAGGUAAAUCAAUCUAGGUCAUACAAACCUGAUAAGACUUAAUGGUAUCAUGGCCCAGAGUCCGAAGGUACCAUGAAUCUCCAUGUAGGGCUAACACAUUUAUGGUAUUUUGACCGCUCAACGCACGCUCCUGACUAGGUGUGAGCAGGAUAAGGUAGAUACAGUACGAAGGAUGUUGGAAACAUAUAUGUCCAACCACUCGACUCUUUAAAGGAUAACAAGAACCUAUAGACCAUGAUGGGCCUCACCAUAGGUGUAAGGCGAUCAAACGCCCUAGAUAGUACUUAAGUAGGAGGGAACUCUAAGAUGAACCACCCAUAUGGCUCCCUCAGAGACGCCGCUUCAUAUAAGGGCUCCGAAGACCCCUCUGCAAGACACAAUUGCCCUAGGUAUGUUCAGUUCAGAAGUGACAAGACCUUGAAAGCCAGACACACCAACAAUGGCAACCCUUCGGAGCAUAUAAGAGCAUAAGACAACUUACGACCCGUAGGCAGGGGAUGACUCAUCCCAUCGAUUUUUCUAUGUAACUCAGCUACCUACCCCCUCAACUAUAUAACGGGGAUAUGACCUCCUACAAGGGGCAUCAUUUCAUCGGACAAAGUAUCCAGUCGACACACAAGCAUGAGUGCCUAGGCUUCGCCUUAUAACGCACCCAAGCAAGCAACAAAUACUUCACCAUACUGGACGUAGAGGACAUCCUAGAACCAAUCUAACAUAGCGUCAAUGUAGCGAAAUGACAUUGUUGUACUCCUCAAAUACUAGGGGCGUCUAUGUAAUAGGAAGGGGAUAAAAAUAUAAUUUCAUACGAAGAUGCACCUGAACUAGCUCACACAAAUAGAUGAACAAUAAUGUUUAGGAAGUCAAUAAUUUACAAAUUUCAAAUGUGGCGUUGAAGAGCCUCCGAAAGUAUUAAUUUAUCGAAACCCAUGUAUUAAGAAUAAGUAUAUUUUGCGUUCAAGCAUUCAUAUACUUCCUCACAUGUAUAUAUAAACUAGUAUAAUGCUCGUAUGUUGUGAUGGCACACUAAUCAUAUUUAAUGGUAUAUAGUGGUGCGAUAUAUGUAUGACAUGCGAGUCCCAGUGGCAAGUUGGCGUAAUAAACUCUCCCCACAAAAAAUUUAAUUUAAAAUUAAAGGUACCCUCUUCACAAAAAAUAAAUUUAAUGCACGCUAAUGUGAUGGGCUAUCUCCACAAAAAAUAAAUUUAAUUUAAAAUUAAAGUAGAAACUUUCAAGAAAAAAUAAAUUUAAAAAUUAAAGUAGACUAUGACCCGUAUACCAGAUAUUAAACUACUUGCACUUUAUCUUAGGCAAAAUGCCAAGAAUGAUAUGAAUUGAAAAUAAGAUAUGUCCUUUUUUUUAUAAGUAGCUCGGUCGCUCAUCCUCCUUCAGCUAGAGAGGUGGUACUAUCUAGAUCUUUAUGUUGUGUUGGGCUUAGGUGUUUUCUCACAACCCAUCUAUUAAGUAGCAACCCACAUUAGGACUGAGGGUUAAAUUAGAAUAAAUAUAAGAACUUUUUUUUUGCAAAGAGACGACACUGGAAACCAAAAAACUAAUGCUUUAGGCUGUUUCCGGUAGCUCUUCUAUCAUAUCCUUUAUCACGUACCAUAUUUCAAACUUCACUCUACAAAUAUUGUGUCCCCUGUUUUAUAGGGUCCACUGGAAACAACUUUAUAGGAGCAGAAAAGAGAAGAGAAUAGAUGGAAAGCUUUGACUUUUGGACUUGUAAUCAAUCAAAUGACAUUCACUUUUUGAAUGAUUAUCUUAUUUCACGUAGAUAGGCAAAACUCUUUUAUAACAAAAAACUUUGAAGGAGGAUUUUAUCAUCUUUUUCUCAAAAUUUAGACAGAUGCCCAAGCGCGCACAAGAAAACUUGGCAGAAACCUCUAAUUAAUUUAUUUGUUGUUCCCGUUGGAGUUGGACCCGGCGCCCGCGGCCGUAGAAAGGUCAAUUCGAGACGGAACCUUCUUGGAGAUUCUGUUGUGGUUGUGGCAUGAAAACGCGGCGAAGCAAAGGAAAGCAGAGAGCGUCCGGAUCCCCACGUGCCUCGUCGCUCGGCAGCCGUCCCGGCAUCAAGAAUUCAGCAUCCACCGGCUGGCACCCACGAAGCCUCGAGAGCCGCCACCUCUCCCAGGCCCCCUACUCGGUCUCCUCUCGCUAUAUAAUGCAUCCACCGCACCGAUCCGAGCUUCAAUUGCCCUCUCAGGUCGGCUCAUCAACAUCAGGCCAUCCACCAAUUCACUCCGACAGCUAACACGUUUGCCGCCGAUGGGGUCGUCGGUGAAGAAGGCGGCAGUGGCGGAGACGACGGCGCGGGCGGUGGACCAGGCGGUGGCGUACGUGCUCAUGGCCGCCGCGCUCGCCGUCACCUACCUCGUGCACUGACCACCGCGCGGUGAACUCAAGUGCCAAUUUUGAUACAUCCUACGGAAAGGAGGACAGACAAGCUGGAGAUGACGUACUAUGAUUCAAUCGCAGCGGAGGAUUCGACUAUCUAGGGUCGCCACCGUACUUCUUAUCGAUCUCAACCAAACCCUUCGUUAUUGUAAAAAAGAUGUACUACAGAUCUUCUAUAACGAACAGUGCUCAUGAGGGCAAACAUGUCAUGCACUCAUGCUCUAGGAUAAAAGAAAAGAAAUGUCGUUGGAGAUCUUCCAUGCAAUGGAUAGUGUUCGUGAGUGCUAACAGUACGUGUGCUCGGUCAUGAGGCCUGGACAGCUAUGUUACCCGUGUCAGGAUACGGAUACGCGAUACGUCGAUACCCCGAUACGCCAUUUCUCAAAAAACACCGAUACGUAAAUAUAUAUUAUAAAUAAAAAUAAAUAGCAGGAUUAUUA